GCUGUGAUAGCCGAGUUGUUAAGGCGUUGGACUUGAAAUCCAAUGGGAUCUUCCCGCGCAGGUUCGAACCCUGCUCGCAGCG
rnacentral:tRNA from 1 species